UACGGAGGGUGCUAGCGUUGUUCGGAAUUACUGGGCGUAAAGGGCGCGUAGGCGGCCGUUUGCGUCGGAUGCGAAAGCCCGGGGCUCAACCUCGGAACGGCAUUCGAUACGGGACGGCUGGAGACCGGGAGAGGAGAGUGGAAUAGCCAGUGUAGAGGUGAAAUUCGUAGAUAUUGGCUGGAACACCGGUGGCGAAAGCGGCUCUCUGGCCCGGUUCUGACGCUGAGGCGCGAAAGCGUGGGGAGCAAACAGG
rnacentral:rRNA from 1 species